rnacentral:misc_RNA from 1 species
GAUGAAGAACGUAGCGAAAUGCGAUAAGUAGUGUGAAUUGCAGAAUUCAGUGAAUCAUCGAAUCUUUGAACGCACAUUGCGCCCCUUGGUAUUCCAUGGGGCGUGCCUGUUCGAGCGUCAUUUGUACCUUCAAGCUUUGCUUGGUGUUGGGUGUUUGUCCCUCGGGACUCGCCUUAAAGUCAUUGGCAGCCAGUGUUUUGGUUUUGAAGCGCAGCACAAGUCGCGAUUCAAGGCUAUCCGCCCGCUUCCACAAGCCUUUUUCACUUUUGACCUCGGAUCAGGUAGGGAUACCCGCUGAACUUAAGCAUAUCAAUAAGCGGAGGA